GGCUGGUCCCACGGCCGUGGGUUAUGAGAACUUAUUAACAUCAUUAGUGUCACUGAAGUUGGUAUUCAACCCCCCACUGCUGAAUUGCACUGGCUAUGA
rnacentral:Y_RNA from 1 species